AGUGAACGCUGGCGGUAGGCCUAACACAUGCAAGUCGAACGGCAGCACAGUAAGAGCUUGCUCUUACGGGUGGCGAGUGGCGGACGGGUGAGGAAUACAUCGGAAUCUACUUUUUCGUGGGGGAUCACGUAGGGAAACUUACGCUAAUACCGCAUACGACCUACGGGUGAAAGCAGGGGAUCUUCGGACCUUGCGCGAUUGAAUGAGCCGAUGUCGGAUUAGCUAGUUGGCGGGGUAAAGGCCCACCAAGGCGACGAUCCGUAGCUGGUCUGAGAGGAUGAUCAGCGACACGGGAACGGAGACAGGGUCCAGACUCCUAAGGGAGGCAGCAGUGGGGAAUAUUGGACAAUGGGCGCAAGCCUGAUCCAGCCAUACCGCGUGGGUGAAGAAGGCCUUCGGGUUGUAAAGCCCUUCUGUUGGGAAAGAAAAGCAGCAGGUUAAUACCCCGCUGUUCUGACGGUACCCAAAGAAUAAGCACCGGCUAACUUCGUG
rnacentral:rRNA from 1 species